GAUGAACGCUAGCGGCAGGCUUAACACAUGCAAGUCGAGGGGUAUAGGAAGCUUGCUUCCUAGAGACCGGCGCACGGGUGCGUAACGCGUAUGCAACCUACCUUUUACAGAGGGAUAGCCCAGAGAAAUUUGGAUUAAUACCUCAUAGUAUAUGUUUUUCGCAUGUUAGACAUAUUAAAGUAACAACGGUAAAAGAUGGGCAUGCGUCCUAUUAGCUAGAUGGUAAGGUAACGGCUUACCAUGGCAACGAUAGGUAGGGGUCCUGAGAGGGGGAUCCCCCACACUGGUACUGAGACACGGACCAGACUCCUACGGGAGGCAGCAGUGAGGAAUAUUGGACAAUGGGCGCAAGCCUGAUCCAGCCAUGCCGCGUUCAGGAAGAAGCAUCUAUGGUGUGUAAACUGCUUUUGUACGGGAAGAAACACUCCCUCGUGAGGGAGCUUGACGGUACCGUAAGAAUAAGGAUCGGCUAACUCCGUGCCAGCAGCCGCGGUAACAC
rnacentral:rRNA from 1 species